GCGUUAUUAGUUUAAUGGUAGAACUUCAGAUUUCCAAUCUGACGGUGACGUUUCAACUACGUCAUAGCGCUCCA
rnacentral:tRNA from 1 species